GACGAACGCUGGCGGCGUGCUUAACACAUGCAAGUCGAACGGAAAGGCCCUGCUUUUGUGGUGUGCUCGAGUGGCGAACGGGUGAGUAACACGUGAGUAACCUGCCCUUGACUUUGGGAUAACUUCAGGAAACUUGGGCUAAUACCGGAUAUGAGCUCCUGCUGCAUGGUGUGGGUUGGAAAGUUUCGGCGGUUGGGGAUGGACUCGCGGCUUAUCAGCUUGUUGGUGGGGUAGUGGCUUACCAAGGCUUUGCCGGGUAGCCGGCCUGAGAGGGUGACCGGCCACAUUGGGACUGAGAUAAGGCCCAGAAUCCUACGGGAGGCAGCAGUGGGGAAUAUUGCACAAUGGGCGGAAGCCUGAUGCAGCAACGCCGCGUGCGGGAUGACGGCCUUCGGGUUGUAAACCGCUUUCGCCUGUGACGAAGCGUGAGUGACGGUAAUGGGUAAAGAAGCACCGGCUAACUACGUG
rnacentral:rRNA from 1 species